AGAACGAACGCUGGCGGCGUGGAUAAGACAUGCAAGUCGAACGGGAUUACUUUUGUAGCAAUACAGAAGUAAUCCAGUGGCGAACGGGUGCGUAACACGUGGGCAAUCUGCCGAAAAGUGGGGGAUAGCUCGCCGAAAGGCGAAUUAAUACCGCAUGUGGUGAGGGACGACAUCUUCCGUGAAUCCAAAGCCGGGGCAACCUGGCGU
rnacentral:rRNA from 1 species